CACACAUGCGGGCCGGCCACCGGGGGUAUAGGUGGGGUGCAAGUGUUGAUCGCAAGUACUGUGCGUAAAGCGUGCGCAGGCGAUUUUGUAAUGCAGUGGUGAAAUCGCCGUGCUCAACCUGGGAACUGCCAUUGUGACUGCAAGGCUGGAGUGCGGCAUAGGGGGAUGGAAUUCCGCGUGUAGCAGUGAAAUGCGUAGAUAUGCGGAGGAACACCGAUGGCGAAGGCAAUCCCCUGGGCCUGCACUGACGCUCAUGCACGAAAGCGUGGGGAGCAAACAGGAUUAGAUACCCGUGUAGUC
rnacentral:rRNA from 1 species